rnacentral:lncRNA from 1 species
AUGCAGUGAAUCCCUUGGAUGAGAAAAUAGUAGCUCAAGAGCUUCCGAUCACUAAUGUAGUCAAACAGCACGGUCAUGAUCUCUCGGGAGCUCAACCGAACGGUCUUGAUGUCUCGAGUGCACCAACUAACGGUGGGUCUGCAAAUACCUAAAUCAGCCCCGAAGAGAAAAAAAGAAGAUACAAAGACAAAGAUGUGAUUGAAAUUUUGAUAUCUUUCUAUGUUGUUCUGUGUUUUAAUACUUUUUAAAUUUUCUAAAUCGUCCUACCCUUAACUUUAGUAUCUUUACAUAUUUUUAUGUUUUCUCUGCUUUUACUUCUUGUAUUUUGAAAUUUCAAGGAAAAUAAUGAAUGAAUCAUUUGGUAAAAUUUGCGCUUAAAACAAAAACAAUUGUCAAAAUGUUACCCAAAAAACAAUUGUCAAAUCCUAUAGAAUCCAAGAAUCUAGUGUCAAAAUUUGGAUAUUUCUUUUACUAAAAGGUUUUCGUAUUUAAAUAUUUUUGAUUUUUUUUGUAUAUAUGAAAAUAAUUUUAUUUUUUUUUAAAACAAUAUAAAAGCUCAUAAGCCUCUAAUGGGCUCAAAAAAAGCAGAUCUAAACUGGAAAACCCACAAAAAGGUCCAAAUCAAUUAACCUCCAAACCCUUAGCUUCCACUUGAAACAUAUUUGCCGUUGGAAACACGCACUCGCCAAAAAGUUAGGACCGCCAAGGCCACCUGAAAGUAAAAAGAAGACGGAGCACUAGAAAGGACCAGUACAAGCCCACACCUGCAAACGCCCUUAACUUUAGUAUCUUUACAUAUUUUUAUGUUUUCUCUGCUUUUACUUCUUGUAUUUUGAAAUUUCAAGGAAAAUAAUGAAUGAAUCAUUUGGCAAAAUUUGCGCCUAAAACAAAAACAAUUGUCAAAAUGUUACCCAAAAAACAAUUGUCAAAUCCUAUAGAAUCCAAGAAUCUAGUGUCAAAAUUUGGAUAUUUCUUUUACUAAAAGGUUUUCGUAUUUAAAUAUUUUUGAUUUUUUUUAGGAGCUAUGGUAAUGACUUUGUACAAAGGUCCGGCGAUCGAAAUCGUGAAAGCUGCACAUUCUUCCUUCCACGGCGGCUCAACCACAGCCACUGGCCAGCACUGGGUCACCGGAACCUUAGCCAUCAUGGGAAGUAUCUCCACAUGGGCUGCUUUCUUCAUUUUACAGGUAUAACUAGUUAAUUUUUAUUUUUUAGCAAAAAAAAAACUAGUUAAUUAAUGUUUAAAUAAAAAAGAAAUCAACAAACAUGCAUUAUACGGUUUUAUAAAUUAUCAAAAUAAUUUUCUGUUUUCAGUCGUUCACGUUGAAACUUUACCCGGCUGAGCUAUCCCUAGUGACGUUGAUAUGUGGGAUCGGAACGAUCCUAAAUUUUGCCGUUUCGAUGAUAUUUGUCCGUGACUUAAGCGCCUGGAAAAUCGGCAUGGAUUCCGGGACACUCGCAGCCGUUUACUCCGUAAGUUAAUCAUCUAUUAGUCACUGGUUAAUUUUAAUCAAUUCUGUAUAAUAAACCUUAUUAUUUGAUUAAAAAAUACUUAUUAUUAUGUGGGAUAUUUCAGGGAGUGGUUUGUUCAGGCAUCGCGUAUUACAUACAAAGCAUUGUGAUAAAGCAACGUGGCCCUGUGUUUACCACGUCGUUUAGUCCUAUGUGUAUGGUUAUUACUUCAUUCCUCGGUGCCCUUGUUUUGGCUGAGAAAAUCCACCUCGGAAGGUAAUUAAGAUUUCUUUCUAUUAUGUUAAUAACUAAGAUAAGUAUAAUUAACAAGUAAUUAACGUUUUAGAGGGUACUGUUGUGACUAUGCAGUAUAAUUGGAGCAGUUUUCAUCGUCAUUGGACUAUAUAGUGUGGUCUGGGGAAAAAGCAAAGAUGCAGUGAAUCCCUUGGAUGAGAAAAUAGUAGCUCAAGAGCUUCCGAUCACUAAUGUAGUCAAACAGCACGGUCAUGAUCUCUCGGGAGCUCAACCGAACGGUCUUGAUGUCUCGAGUGCACCAACUAACGGUGGGUCUGCAAAUACCUAAAUCAGCCCCGAAGAGAAAAAAAGAAGAUACAAAGACAAAGAUGUGAUUGAAAUUUUGAUAUCUUUCUAUGUUGUUCUGUGUUUUAAUACUUUUUAAAUUUUCUAAAUCGUCCUACCCUUAACUUUAGUAUCUUUACAUAUUUUUAUGUUUUCUCUGCUUUUACUUCUUGUAUUUUGAAAUUUCAAGGAAAAUAAUGAAUGAAUCAUUUGGUAAAAUUUGCGCCUAAAACAAAAACAAUUGUCAAAAUGUUACCCAAAAAACAAUUGUCAAAUCCUAUAGAAUCCAAGAAUCUAGUGUCAAAAUUUGGAUAUUUCUUUUACUAAAAGGUUUUCGUAUUUAAAUAUUUUUGAUUUUUUUGUAUAUAUGAAAAUAAUUUUAUUUUUUUUUAAAACAAUAUAAAAGCUCAUAAGCCUCUAAUGGGCUCAAAAAAAACAGAUCUAAACUGGAAAACCCACAAAAAGGUCCAAAUCAAUUAACCUCCAAACCCUUAGCUUCCACUUGAAACAUAUUUGCCGUCGGAAACACGCACUCGCCAAAAAGCUAGGACCGCCAAGGCCACCUGAAAGUGAAAAGAAGACGGAGCACUAGAAAGGACCAGUACAAGCCCACACCUGCAAACCCUCUUAACUUUAGUAUCUUUACAUAUUUUUAUGUUUUCUCUGCUUUUACUUCUUGUAUUUUGAAAUUUCAAGGAAAAUAAUGAAUGAAUCAUUUGGUAAAAUUUGCGCCUAAAACAAAAACAAUUGUCAAAAUGUUACCCAAAAAACAAUUGUCAAAUCCUAUAGAAUCCAAGAAUCUAGUGUCAAAAUUUGGAUAUUUCUUUUACUAAAAGGUUUUCGUAUUUAAAUAUUUUUGAUUUUUUUUGUAUAUAUGAAAAUAAUCAUUUGAUUUUUUUUAUUUUGUAUAUAUGAAAAGGUCCAAAUCAAUUAACCUCCAAACCCUUAGCUUCCACUUGAAACAUAUUUGCCGUCGGAAACACGCACUCGCCAAAAAGCUAGGACCGCCAAGGCCACCUGAAAGUGAAAAAGAAGACGGAGCACUAGAAAGGACCAGUACAAGCCCACA